rnacentral:rRNA from 1 species
GACGAACGCUGGCGGCGUGCUUAACACAUGCAAGUCGAACGGAAAGGCCCUGCUUUUGUGGGGUGCUCGAGUGGCGAACGGGUGCGUAACACGUGAGUAACCUGCCCUUGACUUUGGGAUAACUUCAGGAAACUGGGGCUAAUCCCGGAUAGGAGCUCCUGCUGCAUGGUGGGGGUUGGAAAGUUUCGGCGGUUGGGGAUGGACUCGCGGCUUAUCAGCUUGUUGGUGGGGUAGUGGCUUACCAAGGCUUUGACGGGUAGCCGGCCUGAGAGGGUGACCGGCCACAUUGGGACUGAGAUACGGCCCAGACUCCUACGGGAGGCAGCAGUGGGGAAUAUUGCACAAUGGGCGGAAGCCUGAUGCAGCAACGCCGCGUGCGGGAUGACGGCCUUCGGGGUGUAAACCGCUUUCGCCUGUGACGAAGCGUGAGUGACGGUAAUGGGUAAAGAAGCACCGGCUAACUACGUG